UAGUUAAUCUGCCCCAAAGAAGAGAAUAAUUGUUGGAAACGACUUGUAAUGCUCUAUAUGCCUUUAUCACAUAAGUGAGCAAGGGAAAUAUUUAUAGCUUUGGGAUGAGACUGUACGGUAUCAGAUAGUUGGUGAGGUAAUGGCUCACCAAGUCAAUGACGCCUAACUGGUUUGAGAGGAUGAUCAGUCACACUGGAACUGAGACACGGUCCAGACUCCUACGGGAGGCAGCAGUGGGGAAUAUUGCACAAUGGAGGAAACUCUGAUGCAGCAACGCCGCGUGGAGGAUGACACAUUUCGGUGCGUAAACUCCUUUUAUAUGAGAAGAUAAUGACGGUAUCAUAUGAAUAAGCACCGGCUAACUUCGUGCCAGCAGCCGCGGUAAUACGAGGGGUGCAAGCGUUACUCGGAAUCACUGGGCGUAAAGAGCAUGUAGGCGGUUAAUUAAGUUGGAAGUGAAAUCCUAUGGCUCAACCAUAGAACUGCUUCCAAAAC
rnacentral:rRNA from 1 species